rnacentral:rRNA from 1 species
GACGUAGGGGGCCAGCGUUGUUCGGAAUUACUGGGUGUAAAGGGUUCGUAGGCGGUGUGGCAAGUCGGGAGUGAAAUCUCUGGGCUCAACCCAGAGUCUGCUUCCGAAACUGCUGUGCUUGAGUGUGGGAGAGGCGCGUGGAAUUGCAGGUGUAGCGGUGAAAUGCGUAGAUAUCUGCAGGAACACCGGUGGCGAAGGCGGCAUCCUGGACCGGUAUUGACGCUGAGGCGCGAAAGCUAGGGGAGCAAACGGG